rnacentral:lncRNA from 1 species
AUUUAGGAUCAGUGCCAAAGAAAGAACAGACCCCAGUCAUUUGUGAUUUAUCAGGAUAGGCAUAGCCCAAGAAAAGACAAAAUAAGCCAUCUUCUGUAGAGUGAAUGAGAUGUUCUCACUGUUUUCAAUUCUUUUGUUUUUGAAUCAAUCAUCCAGGGUCCAUACGGAGACAAUCUGUUGAUGAUUCUUCUCUUAAUAAUGGGGAGAUUGUCUCAGUAUUUUUGAUAGCGUUUCUGUCCUUGCAGUUUGAGAUGUCUCCAUGGCCUUUAAAAUUGGAGGCCUUUAAAAUCAAGAUGUGAAAAUAUUAAACCAGAAUCAACGGGAAGUUUUCAUGAAGAUAAGGCAAUAAAAUGUAGAAUCUAGAUAUUAACCAUGGAUGCUUCCUUUCUAAAAACCUAGUAGACCUUUACUUCAGUAGAUACCUAGCUUCUUUCUUCUUAAGGCGUAAAACUCAUAUUUAAUCUGGUGAGCAACGAGAUCUCAGUUCCCUGAUGAUGCUUCACUUUCAGAUCACUGCCAUCACCUCUUUUCUCUCUUUUCUCCAUCAGAUCCAAAUGCAGAUGCUCAGAAGGCUUUCUGGUGCAUAUUCUUCAAUUUCAUAAGUAACAAAAAUUGUUACUUCAUAAAAGGUCCAGGACAGAAGACAGAAAAUGCAAACAAAUCUUUAGGUAAACGAAAAACAUGUUUCCCUCUAUGUCAUUAACCUGAAAGUCCAUCCUGGGGCUUCCAAGUGAAUAAAGAAAGUACUUCAGUUAAUGAAUGCAGAGGAAGAUCAGGCCAAAAAACUGCACAAGUGGAAAAGACAUUGUGGUUUGGAGGGAGAAAAAAGUGCUUUUAUACCUGGGCUUCAUACAAAACUAUGGGACGAUUUGGAUAUUUUCAUUUCAGAUUCUGGCUGGAAAAUUAAGUCAGCUUCACUGGGAGCAAGACAAACACAUUCUCUACUUUGGAGGAGCAUAUGUGAACAUUAGUGAACUACAAGCUGAAAUAGCUGGUGAGUAG